GUGCAACACAAUUAAAUAACCACAAGGAAAUGGGUUCAAACGGGGCUAAAAGCGGUGCUGGCAAGAAGGAAAUUAACAUCACCAUUUUGCGAUGAGCCCCACAAGAACACCCAGGCUGUCUACGGGACUACAGAGGCUGUUUCCGAGCUUCUGGAUCCAGCACCCGUUCCCCAACCGCCUCGACAGCCUGCUGAUUCUGAUGUGCCUCCAAUGGUUCAGCUGGGACACCCUGCCAUAACGGAAAAAGUCUCCACUGAGACGAAACUGACGAUUGCACGAUCUCCCAGAUCUUGGGCAAAAAGCAACUCACAGUUAUAUUAACGCAGGGUGUUGGUGGCUCCCCAUCUUCAAUCCUCCCCAGGUGCAAAGCUUUACUUGACUGACCAAAGUUUGCUAUGCUAAAUAAUGCAAAUAAGGCAAAAAUGCGAGUACUCAUCAGGGGUAAAUCCCAUCUUCAAUCGUUUCACACCAUUUGCUGGGUGAAAUUUGGUUUGUUUUCUCUUCUCUUUGUUUGUCCAGCGCUGCGGCAAAAUCCCCCCAUUCCAUAGGCAGAUUUGUUUAAAAGCCAAAGUACGGCUACAGAUUCUCAUCAGUUCGUUGAGAAGUCUUGCCAGAAACAUGAAAUCUGUGAUCGCUUUUAUUGUGCUCCUUUUGAGCCUAGUCGGAGCACUUCCCGCUCCUCAUGUAGUAGUUGUUCCACUGCCACUGGGACUGCCAAUUGGACUGCCGCCACCGCCACCACCGUACUAUCCACACCACCACCAUCACCACCAUCACCACCAUCAUUCGCCAGGCUAUGGCUAUGGACACAGAAAUAACUACUAUGGAUGAUACCUCAAUCGAUGCGUAUGCCCCAUGGAUGGAUUUAUGUAUUUGUAAAAUAAGACUAUUGCUAGGCAUUAUGCCCUUGAAGCUGUCACAAAAUCUUGAUAAGUGAUGUAAUAUAUUAAUAUUAUAUUAACAAACGAUAAAUAUUGUGACAUUUCCGUCAUA